GCCGGACUAGCUCAAUUGGCAGAGCGCACGAUUAUGGCUCGUGAAGGUUGUGAGUUCGAUUCUCGCGUUCGGUC
rnacentral:tRNA from 1 species